AUCCUGCAGGUAGAUUGAAGUAGUCUAAAAUUAUUGUCCCCCUGAGAGGGUACGUAAGACCACGUCAGUCAAAGUAUAUUUAUUCGUA